UAGAGCACUGGAUGGGCUAGGGGGUCCCAACGACUUACCAAACCUAACCAAACUCCGAAUACCAUGGAGUAAUGCGAGGCAGACACACUGCGGGUGCUAAGGUCCGUAGUGGAGAGGGAAACAGCCCUGACCGCCAGCUAAGGUCCCUAAGUUAUCACUAAGUGGGAAACGAUGUGGGAGUGCUUAGACAACCAGGAGGUUGGCUUAGAAG
rnacentral:rRNA from 1 species